UUAACGACGACUGGAAACUGCUCGAUGUAACUCAUCCGCCGCCGUCUCCAGCUUAAAAAGCAGGCCAGGCUGCCAAGCAGGCCAUUCAGCUCGCGCCGCCACUGGCCUCCACGUUCAGCUUAGGCUGGAAAUCCGCUCAACCUUUUGCCCCUGCACCUGAUUUAUUGGAUCGAUUUUGUCUGAUGCUACCUCAACUCCACCCGAUUGCUUUGGAUUUUUAGGUUUCUCGGUCUGCUCGCUGAAGAUUUCUUCGGAUUUAGUGACUGUUGUAUCUGCUCGCUCGAGCGGACUCGGAUGAGGCGGUUCCUCACCAGGUAUUCAAAGCUGAUGUCAUCUUCACCGCGGCCGGCUCCUCCGUUAGUUCCUCUAUUCUCUUCCUUCCUUUUCUUAUCUCUUGCACUACAUGCGUUUGACAAUUUGUUCAUGCCGACCUGUUGACUUCAUUGAACAUAGCCUCAGAAAUAAUCUCAACGGGCAAGAAUAAGGUAUCAUGGCGCGAUGGUACAAUAUGUUGCCUAAAAAAUUAUCAAUCCACAAGAUCGAUGCACUGUAUCAGUCUAUAGGCAUGAAAGAAACCGUACAAGUAGUCCAGUACAUGUUCCAUGUAAUCCUUCGGGCAGAAGUUUCCUGUAUUUAUUCUUCAGUUUGGGAGACUGUUUCAUUCCUUUUUUCAGGUAAAGAAUUAAUUUUUUGUUUGCCAUAUAGGAUAUAUGGAAAAAUGGAUGGUUUCAUUCUUCUACACGAAAACCCCAUGGGGGAUUAUGUUCAAUAUGUUUCAAGUAAUGUCCGGCCAGAUCAUCUGUUGUUUAUUUUUACUGUUUUUACUGUUGUUUUUCUAUCAUUUUGUUCCAGUUCUGAACUUUACAAUAUACAUGACAUGAUCUGAUUGAGUAAUUUCAUUCGUGUCACAUGUCUCAGUGGGUUGACUAAGCAUCCUCUGUUGCAUUUUUCCUGUUACCUGACACAUGUAUACUGAUCAUUGUUAUUCAAGCAGUGAACGAGUCUCAAGAUCACAUUAGGCUCAGGUCUUGGAAUGAAUGCAUGAGUCAGAACAUGAACUCAUAAACACAUGCAUUAUGUGCAGGUCCCAAUAUUUGGAGUAUGUGUUGCCUGUCGUGACCAAACAAUAGAGAAGCCAGUUAGUCACAAAUUACAUUGUGGUCAGACUUACUAAAAUUUUGGCCCAACUGUUUGCUUGGUUGACCUCUUUUACUGUGUAAACUGUCAAGAUGCUAUUGCUGUCAUAUAAAAGGAUGUA